rnacentral:rRNA from 1 species
UCGAGCGAACCUUCGGGUUAGCGGCGAACGGGUGAGUAACACGUGGGCAACCUGCCCCGAGCUCUGGGAUAACUCCGGGAAACCGGGGCUAAUACCGGAUACGACCUUGGAAGACAUCUUCCUUGGUGGAAAGUUUUUCGGCUCGGGAUGGGCCCGCGGCCUAUCAGCUUGUUGGUGGGGUAACGGCCUACCAAGGCGACGACGGGUAGCCGGCCUGAGAGGGCGACCGGCCACACUGGGACUGAGACACGGCCCAG